GAUGAACGCUGGCGGCGUGCCUAAUACAUGCAAGUCGAGCGAACAGAUGAGGAGCUGGCUCCUCUGACGUUAGCGGCGGACGGGUGAGUAACACGGGGAUAACCUACCUAUAAGACUGGGAUAACUUCGGGAAACCGGAGCUAAGACCGAAUAAUAUAUUGAACCGCAUUGUGCAAGAGUGAAAGACGGUUUUUCGUUGGGUUAUAGAUGGAUCCGCGCCGCAUUAGCUAGUUGGUAAGGUAACGGCUUACCAAGGCACCGAUGCGUAGCCGGCCUAAGAGGACGAUCGGCCACACGGGAAAUGAGACGCGCUCCAGAACCCGAAGUGAGGCAGCAGUCGGGAAUCUACCGGAAGGGGCGAAAGCCUGUCGGAGCAACGCCGCGUGAGUCAGGAAGGUCUACGCCUCGUAAAACAUUGUUAUCAGAGAAGAACAAAUGUGUAAGUACCGAUGUGAGUCUGAACGGUACCUAAGAAGAAAGCCCCGGUAAACCCCGG
rnacentral:rRNA from 1 species